UGCAAGCCCCGCCCCUGCUUCUGUCAAUCACUCUUAAAAGAAGACUUUCUCUCCUCAGCUCCUGAAGCCCAGGGUUGAGCUUUCGGUAAUUAGACCAUACACAGAGAUCGGCAACGGAGUCGGAGCACAACUUCCUGGCAGAAAGAGGCAUCAAACCAAGUGGAGAGAAAGUUGAACUCAAGGGCAAACCCCUUAAGGCCAGUCUCACACACGGAGGGACCCAGACCCCGAUGAAGCCCGAGCCACUGAGCCUGUUUGGCUCUACCCUCAUUUCUCAUGGAAUUCUCUGGGACCUCCUGGAUCUGCUUGAAGCCCACUGAGCUUAGAUUUCUGUCUGUGAUUUUAACACGGCACGGAGACAAGAAGGCAGAUUGGAGACAUCUAUUUCUCGUACCUCAUUGCAAAUGCAGGUUUGAUGCCAUUGAUGAGAGAGCUGGGAUUACAAAUCCUGACCAUUUUAACAGACGUUUGGGAAGGGAAACAGAAGAAGAAUAAUUUUGAGGUAUCUCCAAUAACCAAAGGAAGGGAGGGGGAGCUAAUAAAAAAUAUAUUUUCAGUUAUUUGGAUGAACUAAAGCUUGGGUUGAAAUGUCAAUUGCUCCCCCUUGGUUAGCACAUGAAACUUGAACUCCUGGCCUUGCAAAUUGGGUCUUGAAUUAAGCCCAAGCCACCAUUUCUAACUUUAUUGGCAACCAUUUCUAACCAUGUAUCCUAAGCUACAGCUUCCCUAAACAAACCCAGUGAGCAUGUCUCUGCUGCCACUUGCCCCUUCCUCUGAAUGCU